GGAUAUGUGUCUGAGUGGUUUAAAGUAUAACUCUUGAGUAGUUAUGUAUGUUUCUACAUACCGUAAGUUCGAAUCUUACCAUAUCCU
rnacentral:tRNA from 1 species